rnacentral:misc_RNA from 1 species
GAUCAUUACAGAAUGAAAAGUGCUUAACUGCAUUUUUUCUUACACAUGUGUUUUUCUUUUUUUGAAAACUUUGCUUUGGUAGGCCUUCUAUAUGGGGCCUGCCAGAGAUUAAACUCAACCAAAUUUUAUUUAAUGUCAACCGAUUAUUUAAUAGUCAAAACUUUCAACAACGGAUCUCUUGGUUCUCGCAUCGAUGAAGAACGCAGCGAAAUGCGAUAAGUAAUAUGAAUUGCAGAUAUUCGUGAAUCAUCGAAUCUUUGAACGCACAUUGCGCCCUUUGGUAUUCCAAAGGGCAUGCCUGUUUGAGCGUCAUUUCUCCCUCAAACCCUCGGGUUUGGUGUUGAGCGAUACGCUGGGUUUGCUUGAAAGAAAGGCGGAGUAUAAACUAAUGGAUAGGUUUUUUCCACUCAUUGGUACAAACUCCAAAACUUCUUCCAAAUUCGACCUCAAAUCAGGUAGGACUACCCGCUGAACUUAAGCAUAUCAAUAA